CCUGUGGAGAGCCACACAAUCGACAGUAGCGGGCACGUGGCGAGGUCGGGUUCGCAGAAGCAGGAA
rnacentral:sRNA from 1 species